rnacentral:rRNA from 1 species
AACGAACGCUGGCGGCAGGCCUAACACAUGCAAGUCGAACGAUAUAGUGGCAGACGGGUGAGUAACGCGUGGGAACGUACCUUUCACUACGGAAUAGCUCUGGGAAACUGGUGGUAAUACCGUAUACGCCCUUAGGGGGAAAGAUUUAUCGGUGAAAGAUCGGCCCGCGUUGGAUUAGCUAGUUGGUGAGGUAAUGGCUCACAAAGGCGACGAUCCAUAGCUGGUCUGAGAGGAUGAUCAGCCACACUGGGACUGAGACACGGCCCAGACUCCUACGGGAGGCAGCAGUGGGGAAUCUUGCACAAUGGGGGCAACCCUGAUCCAGCCAUGCCGCGUGAGUGAAGAAGGCCUUCGGUUGUAAAGCUCUUUCGGACGGAAAGAAAUACGCCGCCUCUAACAUAGGCGGUGGAUGACGGUACCGUAAGAAGAAGACACCGGCUAACUACGUG